rnacentral:rRNA from 1 species
UACGUAGGGGGCAAGCGUUGUCCGGAAUUAUUGGGCGUAAAGAGCGCGUAGGCGGUCCGAUAAGUCGGCUGUGAAAGUCAGGGGCUCAACCCUUGAAAGCCGGCCGAUACUGUCGGACUAGAGUCCGGAAGAGGCAAGUGGAAUUCCCGGUGUAGCGGUGAAAUGCGCAGAUAUCGGGAGGAACACCGAUGGCGAAGGCAGCUCGGUGGGACGGUACUGACGCUGAGGCGCGAAAGCGUGGGGAGCAAACAGG